rnacentral:rRNA from 1 species
GAUGAACGCUAGCGAUAGGCUUAACACAUGCAAGUCGAGGGGCAGCACAAGGUAGCUUGCUAUCUGGGUGGCGACCGGCGCACGGGUGCGUAACGCGUAUGCAACUUGCCCUAUACAGGAGGAUAACCUGUCGAAAGACGGACUAAUACUGCGUAUGCUCACAACUUGGCAUCAAGUGGUGAGGAAAGAAAUUCGGUAUAGGAUAGGCAUGCGUCCCAUUAGCUUGUUGGUGAGGUAACGGCUCACCAAGGCAACGAUGGGUAGGGGAACUGAGAGGUUUAUCCCCCACACUGGUACUGAGACACGGACCAGACUCCUACGGGAGGCAGCAGUGAGGAAUAUUGAUCAAUGGGCGCGAGCCUGAACCAGCCAAGUCGCGUGAAGGAUGACUGUCUUAUGGAUUGUAAACUUCUUUUAUACGGGAAUAACAAGAGUCACGUGUGACUCCCUGCAUGUACCGUAUGAAUAAGCAUCGGCUAACUCCGUG